rnacentral:misc_RNA from 1 species
AACGCACAUUGCGCCCUCUGGUAUUCCGGAGGGCAUGCCUGUCCGAGCGUCAUUGCAACCUUCAAGCGCGGCUUGUGUGUUGGGCCUCGUCCCCCGUGGACGGGCCUCAAAGGCAGUGGCGGCGUCCGUUUUGGUGCCCGAGCGUAUGGGAAUUCUAUACCGCUUCAAGGCCCGGCGGCGCUGGUCAAGACCAAUUUUUAUCGGUUGACCUCGGAUCAGGUAGGGAUACCCGCUGAACUUAA